rnacentral:rRNA from 1 species
GAUGAACGCUGGCGGCGUGCCUAAUACAUGCAAGUCGAGCGAACAGACGAGGAGCUUGCUCCUCUGACGUUAGCGGCGGACGGGUGAGUAACACGUGGAUAACCUACCUAUAAGACUGGGAUAACUUCGGGAAACCGGAGCUAAUACCGGAUAAUAUAUUGAACCGCAUGGUUCAAUAGUGAAAGACGGUUUUGCUGUCACUUAUAGAUGGAUCCGCGCCGCAUUAGCUAGUUGGUAAGGUAACGGCUUACCAAGGCAACGAUGCGUAGCCGACCUGAGAGGGUGAUCGGCCACACUGGAACUGAGACACGGUCCAGACUCCUACGGGAGGCAGCAGUAGGGAAUCUUCCGCAAUGGGCGAAAGCCUGACGGAGCAACGCCGCGUGAGUGAUGAAGGUCUUCGGAGUGUAAAACUCUGUUAUUAGGGAAGAACAAAUGUGUAAGUAACUAUGCACGUCUUGACGGUACCUAAUCAGAAAGCCACGGCUAACUACGUG